rnacentral:tRNA from 1 species
GGCCUGGGUGGGAUCGGAAUCGGGCACGUAACCCGAAGGCCGGCAGGUUCAAACCCUGCCCCCGCCA